CGCCGCCACGCCGCGACGUCGCAGUGCACUCGUCGUCAUCCGCGCGUUUCGGCCGUUCCAGCGCACCAAAUCCUGCGCCAUCUGUGUCAUCUCGACCGGGUCUACUCCUUGUCCCUUGGAAGUGGUUAUAACGAAGGAAACGACGAGGUGAUAAGACUACGGGUUUCGCUAAUGAUUGUGAUCGACGGAUGUUUUGGAGGGGAGACCACCAGUUGGCAUGGUGGUCGACUCUUCUUAAUUCGUCUAAUUAAUUACAUGGUGUAUUAGGAGGGUACCUUGCUACUUCUACUGAGGUAUCAACCUCUGUUGUUGCUAUGUUCUGAACCUUGUGCUGGACUUAAAAGACUUCCAUUAAUGUUAACCUACCUUUGAACUCUGUGUUGGAAUAAUUUCCAUUUCCA